rnacentral:rRNA from 1 species
AGAAUCAACGCUGGCGGCGUGCCUAACACAUGCAAGUCGAGCGCGAAAGGGGGGCAACUCCUGAGUAGAGCGGCGAACGGGUGAGUAACGCGUGGGUAAUCUACCUUCGAGUGGGGAAUAACCCCGGGAAACUGGGGCUAAUACCGCAUGACAUCAUCGGGUCUUCGGGUCUGAUGAUCAAAGCCGGGGACCGCAAGGCCUGGCGCUUGAAGACGAGCCCGCGUCCGAUUAGCUAGUUGCGGGGUAAUGGCCCACCAAGGCUUCGAUC